rnacentral:rRNA from 1 species
AACGAACGCUGGCGGCAUGCCUAACACAUGCAAGUCGAACGGGACCUUCGGGCCUAGGUGCGCACGGGUGCGUAACGCGUGGUGACCAGCACUUAGGUUCGGAAUACCUCCCCGAGAGGGGUGCUAAUACCGGAUAAGCUCUUCGGACCAAAGAUUUAUGGCCUUUGGAUGGGCCCGCGUUGGAUUCGCGGGUUGGUAGGGUACAAGCCGGCCAAGGCGACGAUGCUGAGCUGGUCGGGGAGGAGGACCAGCACCGCUGGGACUACGACACGGACCAGAAUCGUACGGAGCGGAGCAGAGGAGAAUACUGGACAAGGGGCGAAAGCCUGAUCCAGCAAUGCCGGGUGAGAGAUGAAGGCCGUAGGGUUGUAAAGCUCUUUUACCCGGGAUGAUAAUGACAGUACCGGGAGAAUAAGCUCCGGCUAACUCCGUG